UGUAGUGCGAGUCUUUGCACGUUAACUGUAAAGGCGUAGAGAAAGCAACUGGCGUUUGCAUGGCUACUGAGCAUUACUGAUAGGACCCGAAAGGUGGUGAACUUUGCCUGCACAGGUUGAAGUCAGGGGAAACUCUGAUGGAGGACCGUACGGGUUAUUGAUGUGCAAAUCAUUUUUCUGAUGUAGGUAAAGGUGCGAAAGACUCAUCGAACCACCUAAUAGCUGGUUUCCUCCGAAGUUUCCCUCAGGAUAGCUGUAAUGCAUUUAGUUAAGGGGAGUAGAGAUAUGGGUAGAGGUGCAGGGAGCCUUCGGGUUCUCAACUUAUUUCCAAACUUCGAACCUCCUUGUUAGGCAUUUACCUAACUGGAAAUGCUUAAAUGAAUUAGCGUUACAAGUGGGCUCUGACCGGUAAGCGGUCAUGGCGAAAUGGGAUGAACCAUACGUCUGAAUAAGGUGCCGAAAUGUACUAUCACUGAUACCAUAAAGGGAGUCCAUGUAUUUAGACAGCAGGUCGGUGCCCCUAAAAGCAGGUAUCCGCUAAAGAGUGUGUUAAAACUCACCUGCCGAAUACUAGGGCCCCGAAAAUGAAUGGCGCAUAUAGUACUACCGAUCUCAGACAUCAGUUCUAUUGAACUGAGAGUAGGGGGAUGUGGACAUUUUUGUGAAGGUGCAAUGUGAGUUGGACUGGAAGAAUGUCUAUUACAGAUCCUAAUUGAAGUAGCGAUUAUCCAGGCUUGUAUCCUGGGGGCUGAUGAGGAGUAGGGUUUCUGGACAACUUAAACAGAUCCAGAGUUAGUCGAUCCUAAUCUCAAUAAUGGGAGAAAGGGAGUACAGUUGAUAUUCUGUAACUGACAACAGUUCGCGGCAACGCAUACUAUUUUUCUCCGCCAAUCUUAUACCGUUGGUACGGAUCUCUUUCCUACAUGACAGUACUAGUACCCAGGGAAACUGGUCAUCAUGCGAACUGCGGCGUUCUGCUGACAAAACAUAGCUUCGGUUAUGUCAAUG
rnacentral:ncRNA from 2 species